AGAAGAAGCACCGGCUAACUCCGUGCCAGCAGCCGCGGUAAUACGGAGGGUGCGAGCGUUAAUCGGAAUUACUGGGCGUAAAGACGCAUGCAGGCGGCCUGUUAAGUCAGAUGUGAAAGACCCGGGGCGUUAACCUCGGAAUUGCAUUUGAAACUGGCAGGCUAGAGUCUUGUAGAGGGGGGUAGGGAAUUUCAGGUGUAGCGGUGAAAUAGCGUAGAGAUCUGAAGGAAUACCAGUGGCGAAGGCGGCCCCCUCGGACAAAGACUGACGCUCAGAUGCGAAAGCGUGGGGAGCAAACAGGAUUAGAUACCCUGGUAG
rnacentral:rRNA from 1 species